rnacentral:rRNA from 1 species
UACGUAGGGCGCAAGCGUUAUCCGGAAUUAUUGGGCGUAAAGAGCGUGUAGGCGGCCAUACAGGUCCGUUGUGAAAACUGGAGGCUUAACCUCCAGACGUCGAUGGAAACCGUAUGGCUAGAGUCCGGAAGAGGAGAGUGGAAUUCCUGGUGUAGCGGUGAAAUGCGCAGAUAUCAGGAGGAACACCAAUGGCGAAGGCAGCACUCUGGGACGUGACUGACGCUGAGACGCGAAAGCGUGGGGAGCAAACAGG